rnacentral:rRNA from 1 species
UACAGAGGGUGCGAGCGUUGUUCGGAAUUAUUGGGCGUAAAGCGCGUGUAGGCGGCUCAGCAAGUUGGGUGUGAAAGCCCUCGGCUUAACCGAGGAAGUGCGCCCAAAACUACUAAGCUUGAGUACCGGAGAGGAUGGCGGAAUUCCCGGUGUAGAGGUGAAAUUCGUAGAUAUCGGGAGGAACACCAGUGGCGAAGGCGGCCAUCUGGACGGAUACUGACGCUGAGACGCGAAAGCGUGGGGAGCAAACAGG